GCGAAAGCCUGACGCAGCAACGCCGCGUGGGGGAUGAAGGUUCUCGGAUUGUAAACCCCUUUCGACCGGAACGAAUCCCCUCCUGGUAAAUAAUCAGGAGGAUCGACGGUACCGGGAGAAGAAGCCACGGCUAACUCUGUGCCAGCAGCCGCGGUAAGACAGAGGUGGCGAGCGUUGUUCGGAUUUAUUGGGCGUAAAGCGUACGCAGGCGGUUUGGUAAGUCAGAGGUGAUAGCCCACAGCUUAACUGUGGCACUGCCUUUGAUACUGCCUUUCUAGAGUGCAUGAGGGGGAAGCGGAAUUCCGAGUGUAGAGGUGAAAUUCGUAGAUAUUCGGAGGAACACCGGUGGCGAAGGCGGCUUCCUGGCAUGUAACUGACGCUCAUGUACGAAAGCGUGGGUAGCAAACAGGAUUAGAUACCCUGGUAGUCCACGCCCUAAACGAUGGGCACUAGGUGUGGGAGGUAUCGACCCCUUCCGUGCCGCAGCUAACGCAUUAAGUGCCCCGCCUGGGGAGUACG
rnacentral:rRNA from 1 species